rnacentral:rRNA from 1 species
AGCAAACAGGAUUAGAUACCCUGGUAGUCCACGCUGUAAACGAUGAGUACUAGGUGUCGGGGGUUACCCCCCUCGGUGCCGCAGCUAACGCAUUAAGUACUCCGCCGGGGAAGUACGCUCGCAAGAGGGAAACUCAAAGGAAUUGACGGGGACCCGCACAAGUAGCGGAGCAUGUGGUUUAAUUCGAAGCAACGCGAAGAACCUUACCUAAGCUUGACAUCCCAAUGACAUCUCCUUAAUCGGAGAGUUC